UACGAAGGGGGCGAGCGUUGUUCGGAAUUACUGGGCGUAAAGCGUGCGUAGGUGGUUUGUUAAGUCUGAUGUGAAAGCCCUGGGCUCAACCUGGGAAUUGCAUUGGAUACUGGCAGGCUAGAGUGCGGUAGAGGAUGGCGGAAUUCCCGGUGUAGCAGUGAAAUGCGUAGAGAUCGGGAGGAACAUCUGUGGCGAAGGCGGCCAUCUGGACCAGCACUGACACUGAGGCACGAAAGCGUGGGGAGCAAACAGG
rnacentral:rRNA from 1 species